CCUACGGGAGGCAGCAGUGGGGAAUAUUGCACAAUGGGCGAAAGCCUGAUGCAGCAACGCCGCGUGAAGGAAGACGGUCCUCGGAUUGUAAACUUCUAUCAAUAGGGAAGCAAGAUAUGACGGUACUUAAAUAAGAAGCCCUGGCUAACUACGUGCCAGCAGCUGCGGUAAUCCGUAAGGGGCGAGCGUUAUCCGGAAUUAAUGGGUGUAAAGGGAGAGUAGGCGGCAAGGUAGGCGAUACGUGAAAGCUGGAGUGCGGUAGAGGUAAAGGGAAUUCCUGGUGUAGCGGUGAAAUGCUUAGAUAUCAGGAGGAACACCAGUGGCGAAGGCAGCUUACUGGACUGUAACUGACGUUGAGGCUCGAAAGCGUGGGGAGCGAACAGGAUUAGAUACCCUUGUAGUC
rnacentral:rRNA from 1 species